AAAUAUUGGUAAGGACCGGGUAAUCUGCAUCCUGAGGUUUAGAUCUACAUGUAAUACUUGUUGCAUCUAGCCCUCGGGAGUGCAGAUUACCUCUUCCUCACUGGCAAUACA
rnacentral:pre_miRNA from 1 species